rnacentral:pre_miRNA from 1 species
GUUGAGGGGAAUGUUGUCUGGCUCGAGGUCACGUAGGUGAUUUUGUAGAUUUUCCUAUAGUUUUUCUUUAGAGUUCUAUGGAAAGUUUGGAUUCAAUCCCUAAGUGACCUCGGACCAGGCUUCAUCCCCGUCAAC